GCCGGGCGCGGUGGCGCACACCUGUAGUCCCACCUAGUCGGGAGGCUGAGGCCAGAGGAUCGGUUGAGUCCAAGAUUUCUGGGCUGUUGUGUGCUAUGCCGAUAGGGUGUCUGCACUAAGUUCGGCAUUAAUAUGGUGACCUCCUGGGAGCGGGAGACCACCAGGUUGCCUAAGGAGGGGUGAACCGGCCCCGCCUUUUUCCCAGGUCAGAAAAAAAGAAGAAAGAUAAUUUAGUAUUAAAUGGUGACUUGAUCAGCCCUCGCCCUGACUGUUGAUGAACAACUUAAUAUGUUAUCCCUCUUGGUAUUUUUUUGUCUGUU
ensembl:misc_RNA Metazoa_SRP Metazoan signal recognition particle RNA